rnacentral:tRNA from 2 species
GCGCUCGUGGUGGAACUUGGUAGACACGCCGGUCUCAGGAACCGGUGCCGAAAGGCGUGGGAGUUCGACUCUCCCCGAGCGCA